AACACCGGCGGCCCGAGUGGUGAUCGUGAUUAUUGGGUCUAAAGGGUCCGUAGCCGGUUUGGUCAGUCCUCCGGGAAAUCUGAUAGCUCAACUAUUAGGCUUUCGGGGGAUACUGCCAGACUUGGAACCGGGAGAGGUAAGAGGUACUACAGGGGUAGGAGUGAAAUCUUGUAAUCCCUGUGGGACCACCUGUGGCGAAGGCGUCUUACCAGAACGGGUUCGACGGUGAGGGACGAAAGCUGGGGGCGCGAACCGGAUUAGAUACCCGGGUAGUCCCAGCCGUAAACGAUGCUCGCUAGGUGUCAGGCAUGGCGCGACCGUGUCUGGUGCCGCAGGGAAGCCGUGAAGCGAGCCACCUGGGAAGUACGGCCGCAAGGCUGAAACUUAAAGGAAUUGGCGGGGGAGCACAACAAACCGGGUGGAGCCUGCGGUUUAAUUGGACUCAACGCCGGACAACUCACCGGGGGCGACGGCAAUAUGUAGGCCAAGCUGAAGACUUUGCCUGAAUCGCUGAGAAGUGGUGCAUGG
rnacentral:rRNA from 1 species